rnacentral:rRNA from 1 species
AUGAACGCUGGCGGCGUGCUUUACACACGCAAGUCGAGCGAGGCGGCCCGCAAGGGUCAGUCGAGCGGCGAACGGGUGAGUAACGCGUGGAUUAUCUGCCCUGAGGUGGGGAACAACCAGGGGAAACUCUGGCUAAUACCGCAUGAUACCGAGAGGUCAAAGGGGGCUCGCAAGGGCUCUCGCCACAGGAGGAGUCCGCGUUCGAUUAGCUAGUUGGUAGGGUAAUGGCCUACCAAGGCGACGAUCGAUAGCCGGCCUGAGAGGGUGAUCGGCCACACUGGAACUGAGACACGGUCCAGACUCCUACGGGAGGCAGCAGUGGGGAAUUUUGCGCAAUGGGCUAACGCCUGACGCAGCAACGCCGCGUGGAGGAUGAAGGUCUUUGGAUUGUGAACUCCUGUCGACCGGGAAAAAGCGACCCGACCUAACACGUCGGGGAGUUGAUUGUACCGGUGGAGGAAGCCCCGGCUAACUCUGUGCCAGCAGCCGCGGUAAUACAGAGGGGGCAAGCGUUAUUCGGAAUUAUUGGGCGUAAAGGGCGCGUAGGCGGCUUGGCAAGUGGAUGGUGAAAUCCCUCGGCUUAACCGAGGAACUGCCGUCCAAACUGCUUCGCUUGAGACCGGGAGAGGUGAGUGGAAUUCCCAGUGUAGCGGUGAAAUGCGUAGAUAUUGGGAGGAACACCAGUGGCGAAGGCGGCUCACUGGACCGGUACUGACGCUGAUGCGCGAAAGCGUGGGGAGCAAACGGGAUUAGAUACCCCGGUAGUCCACGCCGUAAACGAUGAGUGCUUGGUGUAGCGGGUAUCGGCCCCUGCUGUGCCGAAGUCAACACAUUAAGCACUCCGCCUGGGGAGUACGGUCGCAAGACUGAAACUCAAAGGAAUUGACGGGGGCCCGCACAAGCGGUGGAGCAUGUGGUUCAAUUCGACGCAACGCGAAGAACCUUACCUGGGCUAGACAACAGCGGACCGUCCUGGAAACAGGAUCUUCCCUUCGGGGACCGCUGGUUCAGGUGCUGCAUGGCUGUCGUCAGCUCGUGCCGUGAGGUGUUGGGUUAAGUCCCGCAACGAGCGCAACCCUUGUCCUUAGUUGCCAUCAUUCAGUUGGGAACUCUCAGUAGACCUGCCAGGCGAUAAGUUGGAGGAAGGUGGGGAUGACGUCAAGUCCUCAUAGGCCCUUAUGUCCAGGGCCUACACACGUGCUACAAUGGGCCGGUACAAAGGCGUCAGCUAACCCUGCGAGGGGGAGCCAAUCCAAAAAGCCGGUCUCAGUUCGGAUUGGCAGUCUGCAACUCGCCUGCAUGAAGCUGGAAUCGCUAGUAAUGCGGAUCAGCACGCUGCCGGUGAAUACGUUCCCGGGCCUUGUACACACCGCCCGUCACAUCACUGGAAGCAUGGAUUGUACGAGAAGUCGGCUGCAGCUAACCCGCAAGGGAGGUCAGCGGUCCUAUGGUAUGAUCCAUGGAUUGGGGUG